rnacentral:rRNA from 1 species
GAUGAACGCUGGCGGCGUGCCUAAUACAUGCAAGUCGAGCGAACAGACGAGGAGCUUGCUCCUCUGACGUUAGCGGCGGACGGGUGAGUAACACGUGGAUAACCUACCUAUAAGACUGGGAUAACUUCGGGAAACCGGAGCUAAUACCGGAUAAUAUAUUGAACCGCAUGGUUCAAUAGUGAAAGACGGUUUUGCUGUCACUUAUAGAUGGAUCCGCGCCGCAUUAGCUAGUUGGUAAGGUAACGGCUUACCAAGGCAACGAUGCGUAGCCGACCUGAGAGGGUGAUCGGCCACACUGGAACUAAGACACGGUCCAGACUCCUACGGGAGGCAGCAGUAGGGAAUCUUCCGCAAUGGGCGAAAGCCUGACGGAGCAACGCCGCGUGAAUGAUGAAGGUCUUCGGAUCGUAAAACUCUGUUAUUAGGGAAGAACAAAUGUGUAAGUAACUAUGCACGUCUUGACGGUACCUAAUCAGAAAGCCACGGCUAACUACGUG